rnacentral:ncRNA from 1 species
UAUUGAAAAAGGCAAAAUUAUCGAAAGAUGAUGACGCAAAAUCACAGGUCUAAAGCAUUAAGCUAAGAUGGCUGGGUUACCGAA